AGCAGUAGUUGGUGUAUUACCACAAGUAGUAGCAUUACUAUUAAUACCACCAAUACUACCACUAGUAUUCUCUUGUGAGAUCUGAUAAGGUAAAGUGAAAUAUUGCAUUAACAACAAUACUCCCUCCUGCAUUGAAACAACAAAAGUACCAAAGAACAGAACUUUUGAAAAAUAGUGUUCCUUUUUUUCUUUUUGUCUGUUUAUAUAUUAACUUCCUCAAGGGUGGGGAAAAUGUUGCUGUGGCCCAUUACAUGGUGAGCCAGAGAGGAACAGGCCGACAUUCCCACAUCACUGGACGCAGUGUACAUAAUCAAAGAAUUGAAAGAUUAUGGCGAGAUGUGUAUGGAAAUGUCCUUGACUUGUUCCACACACUAUUUCUCAAUUUGGAAGUGGAAGGGUUUCUAAACCCUGAAAAUGAACUGGAGUUAUUCACUCUCCACUGGACCUACGUCCCAGAGCUGCAGCAGCAUCUUCAGGCAUUCAAGGAAGCCUGGAAUCACCAUAGUUUGAGGACAGAGAGAGGGCAAUCCCCCAUGCAACUGUGGCUUAGUCAGCCACGUGAGGGAAAUGCUGCUGAUCCAGUUGAGGUUGCUGCUGAUUAUGGGAUAGACUGGACAGGACCUCACACCCCAUACCCAGAAGGCGUCACUGUACCUGAUGCACAGCUACCCCAACAGCUUACACAGGCUGAAGUUACAUCAUUGCCUGAUCCGGCCGUCCCUUUUUCUGCUGCACUAUGGGCAUACAUGGAUACAGUGUAUAUUCUUAAGGACAUUUUUCAACAAACCUAGACAUAUCACAACUCACCUUAACAGAAUCAGAAUGAAACGAACAAGACUCAAAAGAAUGCUGCAAAUUUUUGUUGCAUAAUUUUAUGACCAGUUGUGAAUUUCAAAUAAAUGCCUUUGAAAACAACAAUGUACAAAGACACAGCAAAGGGAUAUAAAACUGCUUUUAUUGC